CGCUGGCGGCAGGCUUAACACAUGCAAGUCGAACGAUGAUUAUCUAGCUUGCUAGAUAUGAUUAGUGGCGGACGGGUGAGUAACAUUUAGGAAUCUGCCUAGUAGUGGGGGAUAGCUCGGGGAAACUCGAAUUAAUACCGCAUACGACCUACGGGUGAAAGGGGGCGCAAGCUCUUGCUAUUAGAUGAGCCUAAAUCAGAUUAGCUAGUUGGUGGGGUAAAGGCCCACCAAGGCGACGAUCUGUAACUGGUCUGAGAGGAUGAUCAGUCACACCGGAACUGAGACACGGUCCGGACUCCUACGGGAGGCAGCAGUGGGGAAUAUUGGACAAUGGGGGCAACCCUGAUCCAGCCAUGCCGCGUGUGUGAAGAAGGCCUUUUGGUUGUAAAGCACUUUAAGCAGGGAGGAGAGGCUAAUGGUUAAUACCCAUUAGAUUAGACGUUACCUGCAGAAUAAGCACCGGCUAACUCUGUGCCAGCAGCCGCGGUAAUACAGAGGGUGCGAGCGUUAAUCGGAAUUACUGGGCGUAAAGCGAGUGUAGGUGGCUCAUUAAGUCACAUGUGAAAUCCCCGGGCUUAACCUGGGAACUGCAUGUGAUACUGGUGGUGCUAGAAUAUGUGAGAGGGAAGUAGAAUUCCAGGUGUAGCGGUGAAAUGCGUAGAGAUCUGGAGGAAUACCGAUGGCGAAGGCAGCUUCCUGGCAUAAUAUUGACACUGAGAUUCGAAAGCGUGGGUAGCAAACAGGAUUAGAUACCCUGGUAGUCCACGCCGUAAACGAUGUCUACUAGCCGUUGGGGUCCUUGAGACUUUAGUGGCGCAGUUAACGCGAUAAGUAGACCGCCUGGGGAGUACGGCCGCAAGGUUAAAACUCAAAUGAAUUGACGGGGGCCCGCACAAGCGGUGGAGCAUGUGGUUUAAUUCGAUGCAACGCGAAGAACCUUACCUGGUCUUGACAUAGUGAGAAUCCUGCAGAGAUGCGGGAGUGCCUUCGGGAAUUCACAUACAGGUGCUGCAUGGCUGUCGUCAGCUCGUGUCGUGAGAUGUUGGGUUAAGUCCCGCAACGAGCGCAACCCUUUUCCUUAUUUGCCAGCGGGUUAAGCCGGGAACUUUAAGGAUACUGCCAGUGACAAACUGGAGGAAGGCGGGGACGACGUCAAGUCAUCAUGGCCCUUACGACCAGGGCUACACACGUGCUACAAUGGUAGGUACAGAGGGUUGCUACACAGCGAUGUGAUGCUAAUCUCAAAAAGCCUAUCGUAGUCCGGAUUGGAGUCUGCAACUCGACUCCAUGAAGUCGGAAUCGCUAGUAAUCGCAGAUCAGAAUGCUGCGGUGAAUACGUUCCCGGGCCUUGUACACACCGCCCGUCACACCAUGGGAGUCUAUUGCACCAGAAGUAGGUAGCCUAACGCAAGAGGGCGCU
rnacentral:rRNA from 1 species